rnacentral:rRNA from 1 species
UACGAAGGGGGCUAGCGUUGCUCGGAAUUACUGGGCGUAAAGCGCACGUAGGCGGAUUGUUAAGUCGGGGGUGAAAUCCUGGAGCUCAACUCCAGAACUGCCUUCGAUACUGGCGAUCUCGAGUCCGGGAGAGGUGAGUGGAACUGCGAGUGUAGAGGUGAAAUUCGUAGAUAUUCGCAAGAACACCAGUGGCGAAGGCGGCUCACUGGCCCGGUACUGACGCUGAGGUGCGAAAGCGUGGGGAGCAAACAGGG